rfam:Echinostoma caproni strain Egypt genome assembly, scaffold: ECPE_scaffold0032482
GCACUGCUGACGAGUCCCAAACGGAACGAAACAGCUGUCCAGUGC